rnacentral:rRNA from 1 species
GCGCAGCAGGCGAGAAAACUCCGCAAUGCCCGAAAGGGUGACGGGGGGAUUCCAAGUGCCUACGCUUAGCGUAGGCUGUUCAGGUGCCUAAAAAGCACCCGGAGGAAGGGCUGGGUAAGACGGGUGCCAGCCGCCGCGGUAAUACCCGCAGCCCGAGUGGUAGUCGCUUUUAUUGGGCCUAAAGCGUCCGUAGCCGGUCUGGUAAAUGCCUGGGUAAAUCGUGGGGCUUAACCUCACGAAUUCCGGGUAGACUGCCAGACUUGGGACCGGUUGAGGGAGAGGGUACUCCAGGGGUAGGGGUGGAAAUCAGCAAGGUAAGCUGAUGUAACUUGCCUUGCAAGUCACAAUCCUGUAAUCCUUGGAGGACCACCGGUGGCGAAAGCGCUCUCCUAGGACGGGUCCGACGGUGAGGACGAAAGCCAGGGGAGCAAACCGGAUUAAAUACCCCUGUAGU